rnacentral:rRNA from 1 species
CGACGGCGGUGUUUGGCACCUCGAUGUCGGCUCAUCACAUCCUGGGGCUGAAGUAGGUCCCAAGGGUAUGGCUGUUCGCCAUUUAAAGUGGUACGCGAGCUGGGUUUAGAACGUCGUGAGACAGUUCGGUCCCUAUCUGCCGUGGGCGCUGGAGAAUUGAGGGGGGCUGCUCCUAGUACGAGAGGACCGGAGUGGACGCAUCACUGGUGUUCGGGUUGUCAUGCCAAUGGCACUGCCCGGUAGCUAAAUGCGGAAGAGAUAAGUGCUGAAAGCAUCUAAGCACGAAACUUGCCCCGAGAUGAGUUCUCCCUGAGACUAUAAGUCUCCUGAAGGAACGUUGAAGACGACGACGUUGAUAGGCCGGGUGUGUAAGCGCAGCGAUGCGUUGAGCUAACCGGUACUAAUGAACCGUGAGGCUUAACCUUACAACGCCGAAG